rnacentral:lncRNA from 1 species
AAGGCCAGGCCAGUCAGGCACAGGGCACAGGGACGGCUUCCCAGAGGAGGUGUCCCUGCCCCCACUGCUAGGGCUGGCCCUGGAGACAGUCAUUCCUCCCCUGCUCCCCCCAGUGCUCAGCCCCCUGUGGCAGUGGCGUCCAGCGGCGCCUAGUCAAGUGUGUCAACACCCAGACAGGGCUGCCCGAGGAAGACAGUGACCAGUGUGGCCAUGAGGCCUGGCCUGAGAGCUCCCGGCCGUGUGGCACCGAGGAUUGUGAGCCCAUCGAGUCUCCCCGUUCUGCGAGACGCUGCACCUAGUGGGCUGCUGCCAGCUGCCCACUGUCCGCACCCACUGCUGCCGCUCGUGCUCUCCGCCCAGCCACGGCGCCCGCUCCCGAGGCCAUCAGCGGGUUGCCUGCCACUGACCGUGCCAGGAUGCACAGACCGACCAACAGACCUCAGUGCCCACCAUGGGCUGUGGCGGAGCUCCUGCCCCCUACGCCCUACGCCCUACGCCCUAAUGGUGCUAACCCCCUCUCACUAUCCAGCGGCAGGCUGGGGACCUCCUCCCCCCUCAAAAAAAGUAUUUUUUUAUUCUAACAGUUUGUGUAACAUUUAUUAUGAUUUUACAUAAAUGAGCAUCUACCAUUCCAAAGCACAGCAUGACUUCAUCUUGGAUUUGGAGAAUCUUAAAAGUGAGAAACUCUUCCCCCCACUCCUCUGCCCAAAACUCCACCGCCACAGCACCUCGGCAGGCGCGGCUUUUCACCUGCUCCUCUGGGGCAGAUCUGCAGGGUACAGAGCAGCAAACAAGUCCGUGAGAGCAUGGCGUCUGGUGAGGCACGGGCCUUGGAAGCUGGGGGGCUGCUGCCCAGGGAGGGCUAUCUGCGGAGGGUCGGGUUCUGGGGGCAGGAAGGUCUUCCGGGCAGGGGCACAGCUUGGCCCUUACUUGCUGCCUGCCUCUAGCUCGGCUCCCAGCUUUCCCUGGGGCCCCACUCUGUGGUCCUCAGAGACCUGUUCCACAGGGAUUGGGCCCACCUUGUCACUUGCAGGACUGCCCCUUGGAGUGAUGGGGACUGGGGCCCCCAGGGGCACCUCCCUGGGCCUGUUGUAUCUGUUGACUCUUCUGCAAAAAGUAGACAGAGAAGAGAGCAGGCUGGCCCGCUGUGCUCUACUGUGUCUGUCCCAGGACUCGGAAGGUAGGGAGGGAGCGUGGCCAGGGCGGCUGCCUGCAGGUGCGUGUCCUGCUGCUCCCCAACUCAACAUGCUCACCUCAUUUCACACCAACAAGCCCCAUCCUCAGAGGAGGAGCCCAAGGCUCUGAGAGGAAGUAACUGGCCCAAGGGCACAUGCCCUGGUGACACAGGCCCAUCCUAGGCCCUGACUGCC